CCUAGUGACCAUAAUACUAGGUGGCGACUCCUUAAACAAGAUCUUUUCCUCUAAAAGAACAAGAAGUGAGAUAUUUGUUCUUUUUCCAAGAUUAUUUUUUUAAUCAGUCGCCGCGAUGUCCGGGUAUGACAACUCUAAUGUCAAGCUUGAAUAUAUCUAUAUAUUUUCUUUUAUCUUAUUACGUGGUGAAAAGUCUAGGGUGUUCUAGGG
rnacentral:lncRNA from 1 species